GUUGAUAUUAUCAGGCUUGUUACAAGGUUGUUUCAACAAGUACGAUACAGUCAUGAUAUAGCAGUAUUGUUACAACCUUGUGUCAUCAACCUUGUAACAUUGUUAUAUAUAUCAUGGCUGUAACAAACUCGUCAGCACAGUCUUGUAACAAGGCUGAUAGUGCCAUC